rnacentral:rRNA from 6 species
GUCCUGAAGGAACGUUGAAGACGACGACGUUGAUAGGCCGGGUGUGUAAGCGCAGCGAUGCGUUGAGCUAACCGGUACUAAUGAACCGUGAGGCUUAACCUU